CGCGUAGGCGGCUUACAUAGUCAGGCGUGAAAUUCCUGGGCUCAACCUGGGGGCUGCGUUUGAUACGUGUAGGCUUGAGUUCGGAAGAGGGUCGUGGAAUUCCCAGUGUAGAGGUGAAAUUCGUAGAUAUUGGGAAGAACACCGGUGGCGAAGGCGGCGACCUGGUCCGAAACUGACGCUGAGGCGCGAAAGCGUGGGGAGAAC
rnacentral:rRNA from 1 species